GCCCCCAUCGUCUAGUGGCCUAGGACGCCGCCCUCUCAAGGCGGUAGCACGGGUUCAAAUCCCGUUGGGGGUAC
rnacentral:tRNA from 1 species